GCACCCUGGGCGUCUGGGUGAGGGGCAGUCACAGUAGGGGCCGGCCACACCUAGAAACCCUGUAAUCAGAGUGUUGUGGUCCCCAAACACUGGGACUCACAAUGACUCACUCAAGCACGCAGGCACACCCGGGCUUCCUGUGGGCAGGAUCUACGGUGGCAGAUCGGGGUGGUGGCCACCCUGGGCCCAGGAGGAGGGGAACCAUCCUGAGAGGCUCAUUUGGUGACUGGCUUUCCUGGGGCCCGGCCCACCCUGCCUCAGCCAGCCUGGAGGGACGCCCCCUGCUGGCCCUGUAUCAGAAGUGCUUUGCAAGAUCCUCUAGGACUCCGAGGCCCAGGGAGGGCUGAGCCCUGUUCACAGGCAUGUGUUGUUGUUGUUUGCAAAAAUAAGCCAGCAGUCUCCAGUGACGGACACACCCUGGGUGAUCUCGCCUCCUCGGCUGCUUACCAUCAGAAAAACCCAUGGUGGGCCUGGACAAAUCAGGAGAGACCCUUGGGCCAGGCCCAGGCCUUCCCUGAAGUUGGGAAGCCACACUACAAAGACCCCCGACUGGCUUGACGCAUCAAGCUGCCACGGAUUCUCCAGCUGCAGGGAAACAAAUGAGGUGGGGGGCUGGGCCCUGCCCAGUCGAUCCCCCCCUCCCGUGAGGAACACUGCUCUUGGCCACAUGAGGCCCAGCAAGAACUCAGCUGAGAGGUGCCCGGGCUCCUGGUCCUUGGACACUGCCGCUCCUCACAGAGCAGGAGAGAGCCACACAGGGGGCUCUUCUCUGGGGGACAGCUCCUGGUCCCUGCUUAGGCCUCGAGCCCCGGCCUCCUUGAGUUCCGGCUGCUGUGGUAAUCAGGGGCUCUGGGCCACCGGAAGGGCCGUGCCCCCGCCUGCAGCUUCUGGAGCGCAGCAUGUCUAGGCGGGUCCACGUGACCACGGCCCAGAGCUGCUGGCCCCUGCAGGGAGGAGGGGCAGGGACCCAAAGUGUGAGCGCAAGGCCCCCGAUUCAUUGCCUGGAGCUGCAGGGGCCGUGCCCACCCGGUGGGCGGCUCAGCACCCCACGCCCAUCCCUCACUCUCCAAGGCCACAGGGCUGACACCAGAGGUCAUUAAGAGCCCUCCUGUCGCAGGGCCAGGCUCCCAGGGGCUCUGGGGAGGGUCCUUCGGCUUCUCUGCUCCGGGCUCCAGGUGACGAUGGCUGGAGGUUGUGUCACCAGGUUCUGCCUCCGUCUCUGCCUGGCCCCCUCUGGAGUGUCUCAGAUCCCCCGCAGGCCGGACGAGGACCUUGUCUACAGAGGUGGCCCCAGCCAGGUAGUCAGGGCCAUCUCGCGAGACCCUUCAGUCCAUCACACCUGCCGAUAAAGUCACAUGCGCGGGUUGGGGGUCGGGGGGACACGGCUUUGGGGCCACUUUUCAUGCUGUUGUAGCCCUGGUGGGGUCCUUUCCCCAGGGAGGAGCUGAGCCCUGGACAGCGGGGCCAAGUGUCUCUGCAGGGGGCAGGUGGGACGGGCACCAGGAGGAGACCACCCUGUGCAGGUCGGGGGUCCAGGGCAGAGGAGGCAGGCUCGGAGGCUCGGAGGGUCUCCGGGACUUGGGGCAGGGUGGUACCAGGGGUGGCGUCCUGUGCUGCCAUGAUCUGGCCACCCCCUUGGGGCCCUGGAGGCGGUGACCCACUGAGCCUACCUCCUGCUGGAUGCUAGGACCCCGGGGAGAGUCAGACGAGGCCCCUGUCAACAAGACAGCGUCUCCGCCACCCAACCACCUCCACACUGAGAGGUCGGGCAGCAGCACGUGGACACUCCGACAACCUCAGGCCACCAGGGCUUGCCACCGCCCUGCAGGGGCGCCCUCUCCCCAGGGAGGACCCAGGCUGGCCCACAGUCACAGGGGCUCCAGCAGGUGGACGAGCCCCAGCCCUGGGUCACCCUGGGCUGUCCCCUUGUCCUUUCUGUAUCCCUUCUCUCCUCCACAACAGGGGGUGCCCUGGGGUCAGAGGUGAGGGCUCUGGACAAGCCCACCUGGGUCCUGUCUUUGGGCUGCCGCUUCCCGGCGGGGUGACGUGUCCUGCUCCCGCCCUGGGGGGGCUCCGUUUUCUCUUGUCAUUAUUUGAUGGUCCAUACACCGAAGCCACUCAGGCCCACAUCUGCUCGUGGGAGCCCCGAUUGCGCUCUGACCAGUAGCUCACAGUGCUGAGAUGACCACGCGGUCAGUAACCCCCGAGUGCCUGAGAGGACCUCCUGCUCACGUCGCGUCCGAGGCAGGCAGUGGCGGGAGGGACCCUGCUCCUCGAGGUCAGCCAGGCUCCUGGUGGCUCUCGAGGCCUGAGUCCUCUGGUGAGACAAGAGUCGGGCCCCGGGACUCAGGGCCUCCCUGGGUCAGAGCUGGCCCAUUUCCAGCUGCGGCCAGGGCCUGCGGCAGGGGGGACGCGCGGGCUAGCCGCGGCCACUCUGUCCUGGGGGCAGCUGGGGCCAGAGCCUGGGCUUGGUGCGGCCUGUUGUGGUCACAGUUGUCCCACACAGACCCGGAAAUCCCCGGACGAGGUGGCCAGGGCCAGUCCCCCGCUCAGAGGCUGGCUCAGAGGCUGGCUCAGGCGGCUCCUCUCAUGACUGAGUCUUCUCCGUGUCCCCGUCACCAGCCACCCCCUAAAUCCCUUCAUCUCACUGCUUCAUCCUUUCUGUAUUAAAAGAAAGCAAGCAGA